UAAGAGGACUGGAUCUGCAAACUGGUUUUUUCACCUUCAGGCAAAUUAAAGCUGCCACUAACAACUUUGAUCCUGAAAACAAAAUCGGGGAAGGCGGUUUUGGGUCUGUCUACAAGGGUAUAUUGUUGGAUGGUACUAUAAUCGCGGUUAAGCAACUAUCAUCAAAAUCAAAGCAAGGAAAUCGGGAAUUUGUGAAUGAAAUAGGCAUGAUAUCUGCUUUGCAUCAUCCAAAUCUUGUCAGAUUGUAUGGAUGUUGUAUUGAAUCAAACCAAUUACUGUUGGUAUAUGAAUACAUGGAGAAAUAAUAGCCUUGCACAUACUUUGUUUGGUCCAGAGGAAGGUCCAUUAAAGCUGGACUGGUCUACAAGGCAGAAAAUAUGCAUAGGUAUAGCAAGAGGUCUGACUUUUUUGCAUGAAGGAGUCGCCACUGAAGGUUGUACAUAGAGACAUUAAAGCUACAAAUAUAUUGCUAGACCAAGACCUCAACGCAAAGAUCUCUGACUUUGGUUUGGCCAAGCUUGACGAAGAGGAGAACACUCACAUUAGCACCAGAGUUGCUGGAACCAUAGGAUACAUGGCUCCAGAAUAUGCACUAUGGGGUUAUUUAACAUAUAAAGCAGAUGUCU